AGGUGCAUCCCAGGUGACUAGAAGUUUGGAUCUUUAGGUGUGCGUGCAAGUCAAGUUGCGUGAUUAGCAAGAAGUCCCCCCAACAAGGAGCUUAGGGCUCAGGUUAGAGAUUGAUGGCUAUUUUCCAGAUGUUAACAUUAUCAGAAGCCUGACCUUCACAUGAUGACAUCAUCCUUCUACUUGCCUGGAAAUACAAUUCAACACGGGUGGGUUCACAUUUAAUAAUGGUGACAUUUUACUGGGCAGAUAACUGACUUAGUAAUCUCCAGAUUCAGCAUUUGAGUCCUGACUUGCUAUACCCUCUUCCUUAGAUAGUAUAAAGCUUUCUCUUCCACCAGUGUGCUCCUGUGUGGUUUGUUUUCACCUUUGUAUGAUGAAGAAUUCUCCAUCCUUUCAAUGAAUGUCUCAUGCUAAGGGUUUUCAAAAUAAGUAGACUUGCAUUUUUUUCUCCUAAAUGGAACUCAGCUAAUUUUAU